UACGUAGGGGGCUAGCGUUGUCCGGAAUCAUUGGGCGUAAAGCGCGUGUAGGCGGUCCGGUAAGUCCGCUGUGAAAGUCGAGGGCUCAACCCUCGAAUGCCGGUGGAUACUGUCGGGCUUGAGUACGGGAGAGGCGACUGGAAUUCCUGGUGUAGCGGUGAAAUGCGCAGAUAUCAGGAGGAACACCGGUGGCGAAGGCGGGUCUCUGGGCAGUAACUGACGCUGAGGAGCGAAAGCGUGGGGAGCGAACAGG
rnacentral:rRNA from 1 species